rnacentral:rRNA from 1 species
CGUAGGUGGCAAGCGUUGUCCGGAAUUAUGGGCGUAAAGCGCGCGCAGGCGGUUCCUUAAGUCUGAUGUGAAAGCCCCCGGCUCAACCGGGGAAGUCAUUGGAAACUGGGGAACUUGAGUGCAGAAGAGAAGAGCGGAAUUCCACGUGUAGCGGUGAAAUGCGUAGAGAUGUGGAGGAACACCAGUGGCGAAGGCGGCUCUUUGGUCUGUAACUGACGCUGAGGCGCGAAAGCGUGGGGAGCAAACAGGAUUAGAUACCCUGGUAGUCCACGCCGUAAACGAUGAGUGCUAAGUGUUAGAGGGUUUCCGCCCUUUAGUGCUGCAGCUAACGCAUUAAGCACUCCGCCUGGGGAGUACGGCCGCAAGGCUG